GCUGGCGGCGUGCCUAAUACAUGCAAGUCGAACGAACUCUGGUAUUGAUUGGUGCUUGCAUCAUGAUUUACAUUUGAGUGAGUGGCGAACUGGUGAGUAACACGUGGGAAACCUGCCCAGAAGCGGGGGAUAACACCUGGAAACAGAUGCUAAUACCGCAUAACAACUUGGACCGCAUGGUCCGAGCUUGAAAGAUGGCUUCGGCUAUCACUUUUGGAUGGUCCCGCGGCGUAUUAGCUAGAUGGUGGGGUAACGGCUCACCAUGGCAAUGAUACGUAGCCGACCUGAGAGGGUAAUCGGCCACAUUGGGACUGAGACACGGCCCAAACUCCUACGGGAGGCAGCAGUAGGGAAUCUUCCACAAUGGACGAAAGUCUGAUGGAGCAACGCCGCGUGAGUGAAGAAGGGUUUCGGCUCGUAAAACUCUGUUGUUAAAGAAGAACAUAUCUGAGAGUAACUGUUCAGGUAUUGACGGUAUUUAACCAGAAAGCCACGGCUAACUACGUGCCAGCAGCCGCGGUAAUACGUAGGUGGCAAGCGUUGUCCGGAUUUAUUGGGCGUAAAGCGAGCGCAGGCGGUUUUUUAAGUCUGAUGUGAAAGCCUUCGGCUCAACCGAAGAAGUGCAUCGGAAACUGGGAAACUUGAGUGCAGAAGAGGACAGUGGAACUCCAUGUGUAGCGGUGAAAUGCGUAGAUAUAUGGAAGAACACCAGUGGCGAAGGCGGCUGUCUGGUCUGUAACUGACGCUGAGGCUCGAAAGUAUGGGUAGCAAACAGGAUUAGAUACCCUGGUAGUCCAUACCGUAAACGAUGAAUGCUAAGUGUUGGAGGGUUUCCGCCCUUCAGUGCUGCAGCUAACGCAUUAAGCAUUCCGCCUGGGGAGUACGGCCGCAAGGCUGAAACUCAAAGGAAUUGACGGGGGCCCGCACAAGCGGUGGAGCAUGUGGUUUAAUUCGAAGCUACGCGAAGAACCUUACCAGGUCUUGACAUACUAUGCAAAUCUAAGAGAUUAGACGUUCCCUUCGGGGACAUGGAUACAGGUGGUGCAUGGUUGUCGUCAGCUCGUGUCGUGAGAUGUUGGGUUAAGUCCCGCAACGAGCGCAACCCUUAUUAUCAGUUGCCAGCAUUAAGUUGGGCACUCUGGUGAGACUGCCGGUGACAAACCGGAGGAAGGUGGGGAUGACGUCAAAUCAUCAUGCCCCUUAUGACCUGGGCUACACACGUGCUACAAUGGAUGGUACAACGAGUUGCGAACUCGCGAGAGUAAGCUAAUCUCUUAAAGCCAUUCUCAGUUCGGAUUGUAGGCUGCAACUCGCCUACAUGAAGUCGGAAUCGCUAGUAAUCGCGGAUCAGCAUGCCGCGGUGAAUACGUUCCCGGGCCUUGUACACACCGCCCGUCACACCAUGAGAGUUUGUAACACCCAAAGUCGGUGGGGUAACCUUUUAGGAACCAGCCGCCUAAGGUGGGACAGAUGA
rnacentral:rRNA from 2 species